UACGUAGGGGGCGAGCGUUGUCCGAAUUCACUGGGCGUAAAGAGCAUUAAGGCGGUUUCUUAAGUGAGAGGUGAAAGGCUCAGGGCUCAACCCGAGCAUUGCCCCUCAUACUGGGAGGCUUGAGUGCGGGAGAGGCGAGUGGAAUUUCUGGUGUAGCGGUGAAAUGCGUAGAUAUCAGAAGGAACACCCAUGGCGAAGGCAGCUCGCUGGCCUGCAACUGACGCUGUAGUGCGAAAGCGUGGGGAGCAAACAGG
rnacentral:rRNA from 1 species